rnacentral:rRNA from 1 species
UUCCCCUGAUUUGGGUGGCUCUGACCCCUUCCCCAAGGUGGGGAGCAGAUAAGUGCCACCCUUACAAACAUCACUGCCUGUAAGUUUCUUGUCUGCAUGAAGAUUUUCUUUUUUAGUCCUGUUUGUAAAGUAUAAUUUUUCUCAGUUCCUGUGGAGCAGAAACCCAUCCCCUUGCACUGGGCCGCAGAUCUGAGCCUCUGUCCUCCCAUUUAAUUACAUUGUAUUCCUGCCUCCCCCAGCGAGUGUUCAGUGUGCCAAGGUCCUUGGAGGAAGGGUGAGUGAGGUGCAGUACACAAAUUAGUUGUUGUUGCAGGGCCUAGUUGUUUUCAGGAGCUUUUGAGUGAAAAGCAGAAUAUGGUUUUCGUUCUCUGUGAUAGAUAAGUGCAAUAGAUUUGAAGGACAUAUUUUGGUGUGAACGAAGCCUUGAGUAGAAACAUUGCUAAAGCGUCAAACCAGAUCGUGGUUACACUGCCCCUAGGGAGUAUUGGGACAACUGUGUCUGCAAUAGAAUGGCCUGGUAGGACGAAUAAAUAUGAGCAAUUAAUUUCCAAAGAGUGGAGCUUCAGUGGCAUUAUUUUAUGACACCACCUGGUUCCCAAGAGAUCAGCAGAAUAAUGUGUGCCAGUGAUAGCAACAUGUUUCAAAAUGGGACUUGUAAACUAGUACAAGUCUUGGGAAAUGUCUGUAUUGCCAAAUUUACUGAGCUCGUGGGAAAAUAUAUUAUUGUGUCUAAUUUGCUGACUUCACUGUUCACACUCAGUACAUGAUUGGGUGGUUUCCGUGGGACUGCACAUUAGAAGUUACAUGAACUUGUUUUGACCAAUGAGCGUAUGCCAUUUCAGUAAAGGUUACAUGUAUAACUUUAGCCUAUUAGGAUGGAGUAUUUUCUGCUGACUACACAAUUAUGUCAUUCAUAGGGGGCUGCACUUAGAAUGGUCAUGGGUAAUGUACUAACCAAUCGAGAGUUCUAAUUUAUAUUGUGUUUAGAUUUUUACACAGGUGGGAGCCAAUAGGAAAUUAGGGAUUUACAUGUACUUGAUACUUGUAUUCAAAUUUUGCUGGCUUUUUGGUCUUUAAAUACUGUAACUCAAUGUGGACGGGUCUAGAGCUUUUUCAGUUUUAAGGAGCUGGCUGAACCUGACGGACAUCAUUUGCAUGUAUUAAAGCUGAUUUUCUUACAAAUCGUGCUCUCCAUUAUUGUUUCCUUGGAUUGAUUUCUCCAAUCAGUUUUUGGGCCUACCAUACACAUGCCAGGUUUUGCAGUAGAGGCAAGUUUAAGCCUAUCAAACCUAAAGCUACUCCCACUGAUGCCACUGACACUUCCUUGCAAGAGGAGUUUGGGAAACCAAACGUCAUCUCUAGUGGGGAGGUAACUCAAGCUGUUCAUCUCUAACUGGUAAGACAACACAGGGGAUAUACCAUGCAGUAAUAGCCAUAGAGGGAUAACCAUACCCGUAAACAAUGCUUGUUCAAGAGCGACUCCUAAAUUGAUUCUGUUGAGGGAUCCGGAAUCAGAUUCUGAACUUUCAUCCCGAUGGUUGUGUUGGACCGUGUCUCCAACAGGGCGCCUGACCUCCAAUAUUAUAGGCUUUUGUAAAUGUUAUAAGUAUAUAUAAUAUAUAUAUAUAUAUAUAUAUAUAUAUAUAUAUAUAUAUAUAUAUUGUUAAUAAUAUUGUUAAGAGGUGUCUAAAGUGAUUUGCCGUUACACAUAUUGGUAUCUAUUGUAUGUACUGCACCAGGUAUGCCUAUAGUAUGCUUUGGUGUUGUUUAUGAUUAUGCCUUCAGCUUUAAAAAAACAAUUAAAGUCAGCUGGUGGGCAGUCAUUAACCAGGAAUGAGCCACUCUGGUAGUACAAACAUUACCAAAUGCCUCAUUAACUAAUCAGUGAAAUGCAUGAAUGGAUGAACGUGAUUCCCACUGUGCCUACCUACUAUCUUGCGAAACACAUCCAAGUUAACAGGCUUGGCAGAAUCAGUGGAGAAAGUAGACACUGUUGAGCUUGUCUCUAGUGUGGCAAUAUGAAGAGACAUAAGAGGUGCCGGAUAAGUAUGAGGCCCUUGGGCUGCUGUUGAAAUACCACUACUCUUAUUGUUUUGUCUUUUACCCUGUGAAACGGGGGGUGAGUCCCAUGGGGCUCUCAUUUCUGGCUCCAAGUGCCAGAUGCUCACAGUUUAUGACCCAUUCCAGGGACCGUGGCACGUGGGUAGUUUGACUGGGUCGGUACAUCUGUUGAACGUUAACACAGGUGUCCAAAGGUGAGCUCAGGGAGGACAGACGCUUCCUGCAGAGCAGAAGGGCAAAAGGUUGCUUGAUCUAAAUUUUCAGAAUGAAUACAGACCAUGAAAGUGGGGCCUCACAUUCAUCCUAACUUUUUGGGUUUCAAGCAGGAGCUGUCUGAAAAGUUACCACAGGGUUAACUGGCUUGCAGCAGCUAACCGUUCAUAGCGACAUCACUUUCUGAUCCUUGUCGGCUCUUCCUAUCAUUGUGAAGCAGAAUUCACCAAACGUUGGAUUGUUCACCCACUAAUAAGGAUUGUGAGCUGGGUUUAGACCGUCGUGAGACAGCUUAGUUUUACACUACUAUAUAUGUGUUGUUGCAAUAGUAAUUCUGCUCAGUACAAAAGGGACCAUAGGUUCAGACAUUUGGUGAAUGUGCUUGGCUGAGGAGCCAAUGGGGUGAAGCUACCAUCUGUGGGAUUAUGACUGAACCUCUAAGUCAGAAUCUCCCUACACCCUAAUGAUACCACAGUACUGUGGAGCCUCAGUUGGCCUAGGAUUGCCGGCCUCUGGGCUGGUGCGUAAAGCCCCUCGCCUCAGCACUCACAUGUGGACAGAAGGGGUGAUAACUCUCUCAUCCGUAGUGCACCGCAUGUUCGUGGGGAACCUGGUGUUAAAUCAUUCGUAGAUGACCUGAUUCUGGGUCAGGGUUUCGUAAGUAAUAGAACAGCU